rnacentral:rRNA from 1 species
AGUGAACGCUGGCGGUAGGCCUAACACAUGCAAGUCGAACGGCAGCACAGGAGAGCUUGCUCUCUGGGUGGCGAGUGGCGGACGGGUGAGGAAUACAUCGGAAUCUACUCUGUCGUGGGGGAUAACGUAGGGAAACUUACGCUAAUACCGCAUACGACCUACGGGUGAAAGCAGGGGAUCUUCGGACCUUGCGCGAUUGAAUGAGCCGAUGUCGGAUUAGCUAGUUGGCGGGGUAAAGGCCCACCAAGGCGACGAUCCGUAGCUGGCCUGAGAGGAUGGGCAGCCACACUGGAACUGAGACACGGUCCAGACUCCUCCGGGAGGCAGCGGUGGGGAAUAUUGGACAAUGGGCGCAAGCCUGAUCCAGCCAUACCGCGUGGGUGAAGAAGGCCUUCGGGUUGUAAAGCCCUUUUGUUGGGAAAGAAAUCCAGCUGGCUAAUACCCGGUUGGGAUGACGGUACCCAAAGAAUAAGCACCGGCUAACUUCGUGCCAGCCGCCGCAGUAA